rnacentral:lncRNA from 1 species
GGGUUGAGGACAUGGGGAUGGGGUGGAGGCCCCCAACGAGGUUGGAGGCCAAGAGCUGGAGGACCUUGAAGAGGUUGGAGAAGGUUGGGAUGGGUUGGAGGACCUCAACCUUUGAGAACAUGGCUUGGAGAACCUCGAAGAGGUUGGAGGAGAAGAGUUGGAGGAGGUUGAGGAGGUUGGAGGAGGUUGGGAUGGGUUGGAGGACCUCGAGGUUGGAGGACAUGGCUUGGAGGACCUCAAGGAGGUUUGGGGACACGAAUUUGGGGACAUUUGGGGACACGGGGCCAGGGUGGAGGCCCUCAACCGUUGAGAACAUGGCCUGGAGGACCUCGAGGAGGUUGGAGGAGAAGAGUUGGAGGAGGUCGAGGAGGUCAAAGGACACAAAUUUGGGGUCGUUUGGGACAUUUGGGGACACGAGGUUGGGUUGGAGGCCCUCAACCGUUGAGAACAUGGCUUGGAGGACCUCCAGGAGGUUUGGGGACACAAAUUUGGGGACAUUUGGGACAUUUGGGGACAUGGGGAGGGGUUUGAGGACCUCGAGGAGGUUUGGGGACACAAAUUUGGGGACAUUUGGGGACACGGGGACAAAUCGGAGGUCCUCGAGGUUUGGGGACAUGAAUUUGGGGUCGUUUGGGACAUUUGGGGACACGAAUUUGGGGACAUUUGGGGACACGAAUUUGGGGACGUUUGGGGACACGAAUUUGGGGUCGUUUGGGACAUUUGGGGACACGAAUUUGGGGACAUUGAGGUUCGGGACUUUUGGGACGUUUGGGGACACGAAUUUGGGGACAUUUGGGGACACGAAUUUGGGGACGUUUGGGGACACGAAUUUGGGGUCGUUUGGGACAUUUGGGGACACGAAUUUGGGGACGUUUGGGGACAGCGGCCCCCCGGGGCCAGCCGGGGCUUUUUGGGUGGUUUUGGGGCCCCCAAGGGGGGAUUUGGGGAAAUUUGGGGACGUUUGGUGGCCCGGGGGGGACGCGGGGACGUCACCGGGGGCCGCGGGGUGGCCGCGUCUUCUUCUGGGGGGACCUGCGGGGGAAGGAGGGCAAGGAUGGUCCCAAAUUGCCCCAAAAUUGCCCCAAAAUGGUCCCAAAAACCCAAAAUCCCAAAAUAUAAGCCCAAAAGCACCCAAAAUGGCCCUAAAACCACCCAAAAUGGCCCCAAAACCACCCAAAAUGGCCCCCAAACCACCCUAAAUGUCCCCCAAACCCACCCAAAUGGUCCCAAAUGGCCCCAAAAUGACCCCAAAAUGGUCCCAAAAACCCCAAAUCCCAAAAUAUAACCCCAAAAGCACCCAAAAUGGCCCCCAAACCCACCAAAUGUCCCCCCAAAACCACCAAAAUGGCCCCAAAUGGCCCCAAAUGUCCCCAGUGUCNNNNNNNNNNAAAUCCCAAAAUAUCCCCCAAAAGCACCCAAAAUGGCCCCAAAAGCACCCAAAAUGGCCCCCCAAACACCCAAAAUGGCCCCAAAACCACCCUAAAUGUCCCCCAAACCCACCCAAAUGGUCCCAAAUGGCCCCAAAAUGGCCCCAAAAUGGUCCCAAAAACCCAAAAUCCCAAAAUAUCCCCCAAAAGCACCCAAAAUGGCCCCAAAAGCACCCAAAAUGGCCCCCCAAACACCCAAAAUGGCCCCAAAACCACCCUAAAUGUCCCCCAAACCCACCCAAAUGGUCCCAAAUGGCCCCAAAUAAAUGACCCCAAAUGUCCCCAAAUGUCCCCAGUGUCCCCAAAAACCCCA